rnacentral:rRNA from 1 species
CCCUUAGAUGUCCUGGGCCGCACGCGCGCUACACUGAGUGUCUGAGAUACGAGUCUGCCUGGUCCGGCAAGGUCUAGGUAAUCGCUAAAAGACACAUCAUGCUUGGGAUAGAUUAUUGCAAAUAUUAAUCUUGAACGAGGAAUUCCUAGUAAGCGCAAGUCAACAGCUUGCGUUGAUUACGUCCCUGCCCUUUGUACACGCCGCCCGUCGCUACUACUGAUUGGAUGUUUAAGCGAGGUUCUCGAACUGCUAGCGACUUAGCUUCGGUGAGGUCGCAGUGUGGGAAGUGAACCUAGCUUUGGUGUCUAGAGGAAGUAAAAGUCGUAACA